ACACGCGGCCAGAACCUGAGAACCGGUUCCUGCCGCGGCGCUGGCAGCGGGGCCGGCGCGCGCUCCGGCCCCACGCGGCGGAGAGCUAUUUGUCAGGCUGUUGCAAGGAGAGCUGGUGGUGGCGGGCGGGCCGGGCCCUGCCCUUCCCCAAAGAGCGUCGCUCUAGGUUCUUUGACUCGUAAACAACAGAGUGCACUGCGAUCUGCGAUGACAAUUAAGUGAAGCAGGUUAUGCAGCUACCUCCACAGCCAAUACGUGAGAAGUCGAGGAUCAAGGCAAGGCCAUUACAAAGCCCAGGGACUUUUCCACUGGACUACACGCCCCCCCCAUAAAGAAAUUUGUGCAGCCUGCAACCGUGGGACAGAAUUUCCUACAAGAGGGCUUCCUGGUGGCAAGCGGAUUGUGAAGGAGUUGCAGGAACUUGUCUUGAAGCUGUGUUCUGCAUAGUAAGGUCACUGUUUUCACUUGGACCGGAGCAGUUU